AUUGAACGCUGGCGGCAUGCUUUACACAUGCAAGUCGAACGGCAGCGCGGGCUUCGGCCUGGCGGCGAGUGGCGAACGGGUGAGUAAUACAUCGGAACGUGCCCAGUAGUGGGGGAUAGCUCGGCGAAAGCCGGGUUAAUACCGCAUACGACCUGAGGGUGGAAGCGGGGGAUCUUCGGACCUCGCGCUAUUGGAGCGGCCGAUGGCAGAUUAGCUAGUUGGUGGGGUAAAGGCCUACCAAGGCGACGAUCUGUAGCUGGUCUGAGAGGACGACCAGCCACACUGGGACUGAGACACGGCCCAGACUCCUACGGGAGGCAGCAGUGGGGAAUUUUGGACAAUGGGCGAAAGCCUGAUCCAGCAAUGCCGCGUGUGUGAUGAAGGCCUUCGGGUUGUAAAGCACUUUUGGCGGGAACGAAAAGGACUGUGCCAAUACCACGGUUCGAUGACGGUACCCGCAGAAUAAGCACCGGCUAACUACGUG
rnacentral:rRNA from 1 species